rnacentral:rRNA from 1 species
AAGUUUAACGGCCGCGGUAUCCUGACCGUGCGAAGGUAGCGUAAUCAUUUGUCUUUUAAAUGAAGACCUGUAUGAAUGGCAUAACGAGGGUUUAACUGUCUCCCUUCCCCGGUCAAUGAAAUUGAUCUACCCGUGCAGAAGCGGGUAUAUAACCAUAAGACGAGAAGACCCUAUGGAGCUUUAGACAAAGGAUCGCGCAUGUAAAGAAGGCCUAUUGUCCAAAAGGACUACAGUGACCAUAAAACCAAAUGUACAACGAACCGAGUGUCUUCGGUUGGGGCGACCAUGGGGGAGAGAAAAGCCCCCACGAGGAACGGGGAAACCCUGAGCUAAGAAGGACACUUCUAGGCAACAGAAAAUCUGACCGCAACUGACCCAGGACAACGCUCCUGAUCAACGAACCAAGUUACCCUAGGGAUAACAGCGCAAUCCUCUCCCAGAGUCCAUAUCGACGAGGGGGUUUACGACCUCGAUGUUGGAUCAGGACAUCCUAAUGGUGCAGCCGCUAUUAAGGGCUCGUUUGUUCAACGAUUAAUAGUCCUACGUGAUCUGAGUC